AUCCUCCCUAUCCCUUUCCCAUUAGAUCGGAAUACUGAUCUCGUGGUCAAGAAGGAGGGAAAGUAAAAUGGAAGCUGGCCCUCACAUCUUUGCCUGGUCAAAUCCCGCAUUGAACUGGGCUGGCUUGAAACAGUU
ensembl:snoRNA small nucleolar RNA, H/ACA box 61